GUACUUAGUUCUGCUUUCCUGUUUU
rnacentral:miRNA from 1 species